rnacentral:tRNA from 1 species
UUGGGGAUGCUACUCAGUGGUAAAGCAUAUGCUUAGCAUGCACAAGGCCCUGGGUUUGAUCCCAGAGUCAUUAAA